CCUACGGGUGGCAGCAGUGGGGAAUAUUGGACAAUGGGCGAAAGCCUGAUCCAGCCAUGCCGCGUGUGUGAAGAAGGCCUUCGGGUUGUAAAGCACUUUCAGUGGGGAAGAAAGCCUUGGGGCUAAUACCCUCGAGGAAGGACAUCACCCACAGAAGAAGCACCGGCUAACUCCGUGCCAGCAGCCGCGGUAAUACGGAGGGUGCGAGCGUUAAUCGGAAUUACUGGGCGUAAAGCGCGCGUAGGCGGUCUGAUAAGCCGGUUGUGAAAGCCCCGGGCUCAACCUGGGAACGGCAUCCGGAACUGUCAGGCUAGAGUGCAGGAGAGGAAGGUAGAAGUCCCGGUGUAGCGGUGAAAUGCGUAGAGAUCGGGAGGAAUACCAGUGGCGAAGGCGGCCUUCUGGACUGACACUGACGCUGAGGUGCGAAAGCGUGGGUAGCAAACAGGAUUAGAUACCGUGUAGUC
rnacentral:rRNA from 1 species